UAGAAGACAGAGAAGUUAAGCGCCAGGCCAAGACGGAUUGGGUGGGUUGGUGCAAGCUCAGUAUUUGCAAUGUCCUGCGAUCCGAUCCAUGAAACAAAACAUAAUUAAAAUCCUUAGCAGGAUUGGAGAUAUGGAUCGGACCUGGGCGGAUUUGUAGGCGGAGAGAGUGCUCUCAGCAGCCUCCUUGCGCUCGGCGGCGGUCUUGAAUUCAGCGAGGUAGCGGUGGUAGUCACCCUUCAUCUUAAGGUAGAAGACCUUGGAGUCGCCGGCAGAGGCGGAGGGGAUGAGCCUGGAGUCAAGGAGCUUGAGGAUGCCAUCGCAGAUGUUGGAGAGCUCCUUCUCGAUCUUAGAUCUAUAGUCGCGGAUCGAGCUGACAUGCUCGUCGUUCCCCUUGGACGACUCCUUCUGCUCGAUGGAGGAGAUGAUCCUCCACGACGCGCGGCGUGCGCCGAUCACGUUCUUAUACGCCACCGACAGCAGGUUCCGCUCCUCCACGCUCAGCUCCUCCGUCUCCGCCAGCGAAGACGACACCUUCUCCAUGAACUCCACCAUCUCCUCGUAUCUCUCCGCCUGCUCCGCCAGCUUCGCCAUGUACACGCUCUCCUCACGCGCCGUCGGUGCCGCCAUUCUUCUGAUUCACAAUGUAGUAAUUUCAGAGGUAUGGAGGGAAGCUAAUCACUAAUGCGAAUGCGAGAUUACAAGCUAAGGAUCCAGAGCCUGAGAAUGUUUAAUUUGGAGCUUUUUGGUUUUGACAUGAACGGAGAGGAGAAGUUUCCGGAUUGUUUUCCGGCCAUUAUGGGUGGCUGUGAGUUGCCCAAUCCCAGCCGUUGGAUUCAUGCCUUUCUCCUGUUCCACAAAUUUUUAAUUUUUUUUUAUUUUUUUUGAAAGAAGGCUUUAUUCCACAUUACAGUUGAGAUUUGAGAUUGUAAGCCCAAUCAUUAUAUCUUGGAUCCGGUCCAUCUUAUCAUAAUAAAUGUCUAUGCAAUUUCAUUUUAA